rnacentral:rRNA from 1 species
AACGGAUCUCUUGGUUCUGGCAUCGAUGAAGAACGCAGCGAAAUGCGAUAAGUAGUGUGAAUUGCAGAAUUCAGUGAAUCAUCGAAUCUUUGAACGCACAUUGCGCCCUUUGGUAUUCCAAAGGGCAUGCCUGUUCGAGCGUC